rnacentral:rRNA from 1 species
UAAUCGCGGAUCAGAAUGCCGCGGUGAAUACGUUCCCGGGCCUUGUACACACCGCCCGUCACACCAUGGGAGUUUGUUGCACCAGAAGUAGCUAGCCUAACUGCAAAGAGGGCGGUUACCACGGUGUGGCCGAUGACUGGGGUGAAGUCGUAACAAGGUAGCCGUAGGGGAACCUGCGGCUGGAUCACCUCCUUAA